CAGGUCAUAGUUAAAUGAUUAUAACAGUUCCCUUACUCUGAGCUAUUAUUCGUGAAAGUCGAAUUGACCUGA
rnacentral:tRNA from 1 species